AUUUAAAGCCUAAAAUGUCAAAUGGGCUCAGGGCCUGAGCACCGCCAAGCACGCCGCCCUCAUUGCCCGCUUUGCUUAAACCGCGCUGCGCAGCGUCUCUCGCGUCGCGUCGCGUUUCGUUUCGUUGAAAUUGUUUUCGCAUUCGCAUUCGUUUUGAUGGAGCGACUUUUAAGGUAAAAAUAAUUAAGCAUAUUUGCCAGACAACAACAGUAACAACAACAGCAUUGAGCAUAUGAAGCAUCGAGAACACAAACACAAAACGCAAUGCGAAUUGGAAAAGUACAAAAUACAAAAAAUAGAAUGCAAAAUAAAUAAAUAAAGAGAAAACAAUACAGAAAUAUAAAGUAACACGCUCACAAUAAUUGCGCAUCUACAAAAAGCAGCGCCGCGCAACAAAAGCAAAUACAAAAAAAAAUACAGUAUGAACAAAAAGAAAAAGAAAAAAAACAGAACACACACGCACAUGCACGCGCAACAACAAAAAUGGCAAAUGUAAAUAAAUAGCACACUAAGCGAUUGGCUGAUAAUCGCAUGACGAGCGCUUUGCCGGCGGCCGCUAGUUACGCGCGGGGGUACUCUCCGAGAGGUGUGCGGUAUUAGUUCGGCAUUCAAGUGGAUCUGUGAUUGUGGCUGUGACGAUAAAUUUGCAUUGAGUUCAACUAAUCGUUCGGGCGAGUGGCAAAGAGAGGUGCGGCGGCGGGCACACAACAACAAGUGCUCCCAAGGCGCUCCGAAUGCGGGUCAGCAGGUCAAGCUAAAAUCACUGCAGCCGGACAGGAUUUUGUGCGACACGAUUCAAGGCUGACAAAGCAGCAAAUUACAGUUGAAAAAUUGACAGCCUAAUAGGCGAGGAGGGGGGAAAGGAGACAUGUUGAUUAGAAACUGCGCUAAGCGCAUUAUUUGGCAGAUUGGUUCAUCUGGUGAACCGGUUCUUUUGAGAUAAAAAGUGUAUGAAGAUAAGAUGGCAACGUGUUUGCCAGAUGCUACAGGAGAAAUUCCAAUGAAGUGCUUGCUUGUGAUUUAUUUUGUUUGUAAUGUGCCUUCCACCUACAAAAAUUUGAUAAUGAAAUGAUCUUGCAUAUGUAUUGGAAUCUUUGGUGAGAUGCACUUUUAAAGGACUUUCUCCCUACAUCUUAUUGAUGUCAAUAAUAUAUGAUGUGUAAAGUUUGGGAUUUAUGAGCUCGUUGCUUUGCCGCCUCAGCCAAAUAUUUGUAUAGUUUAUUUAUGGCGAGAGCGAGAAAUAAACAGGGCCGGAUCAACGACCAGCCAAAGAGGGAGAAAAAAACGGUGGAUUGUACUUUUCAUUUUUUACAUGCGAAUACAUAUAUAUAUAUAUAUAUAUAAAUAUAUUUAUACUGGAGCUGCUUGUCUUCUAUGUGAUGGGGCAUAAAAAACGAAAGACAACUUUCGGCUGAAGCACCAACAACAACAACAACACACAAACAGCAAAAACGUCGCAACAAAAAAAAUAAAUAAAGACAAGUCGAACAGACGAGGAUAAACAAAAUUAGAUUGGCUAUAUAAGCCGAUCCGAGAGAUCGAUUGGAUGAAACCUCCGCAAUCUCCUCCGCACUCGGACUUCUCCAGUCCCACGUCUAUUUUGAUGCAGCCUGGUCCCCGACUUUGGGCAUGCAUGUAGCAGGAAGCAGCAGACAGCUUGCGAGGCGUUUUCGCUUCCAGGACCCUGAUCUUCACAGCCUUCCCUUACACUUGGAUUCCAUCACGCCACGCAGGAGCUAUGUAG